GAUCCUGGCUCAGGAUGAACGCUAGCGGCAGGCCUAACACAUGCAAGUCGAGGGGCAGCGGGGAUUGAGCUUGCUCAAUUUGCCGGCGACCGGCGCACGGGUGCGUAACGCGUAUGUAACCUACCCCGAACUGGGGAAUAACACUGAGAAAUCGGUACUAAUACCCCAUAAUACACUGGAAGGCAUCUUUUGGUGUUGAAAGCUCCGGCGGUUCAAGAUGGACAUGCGUUGUAUUAGCUAGUUGGUG
rnacentral:rRNA from 1 species